CUCCUUUUAAUUGGUUUCUUUGAGAAAAGCAAGACAGCAGUUAUACAAUCUCCCAUGGAUUUACUUUGCUUCUCAGCUUCUGUUCUGCUUUGCUCUGGCUGCCUCUACUUAUUAUCUAAGCUUAGUGAAUCGAAAUGAUGUAAGCAUUAAUCACACAUCCUUGUAGAAAAAUUAUGAUGUAAAUAUAUGUAUAUGUAUUAUAGACUAUUGUUGCAAGUGUAUGUGCCAAAAAUAUGAGAGAGAGGAAGCAAAUGCAUUAACUUCACAAUACACUCUUGAUUGCUAUUUCCGCAUUUAUUAUGUACAAUUAUGCACAAUUUUGGAUAUAAAAUAUUUAAUUUAAUAAUAAUUAAACUCGAAAUUUACCUUAUAUUACAUACGAAACCUAUGUACAGCUUGGUCAUGUUCAAUGCUCGACCUCCAUUGUCUGGGACACUGGAUAGUCAUUGAAACUUGGGAAACAUACUUGUGAAAGCAAGGCGAGACCAAGAAGGUGUUUGGUUAGCUUAGUCAUGU
rnacentral:lncRNA from 1 species